GUUUCCGUAGGUGAACCUGCGGAAGGAUCAUUAUUGUAUAACCGAGGUGCGAGGGCUGUCGCUGACCCGAAAGGUCGUGCACGCCCGAGUGCCCUCACACACAUCCAUCUCACCCCUAUGUGCACCACCGCGUGGGUCCCUCUUUGGCUUGUUCGGAGGGGGGCUUACGUUUUCACACAAACUUUGUAUGCAGUGUAGAAUGUAUUUUUUGUUUUUGCGAUCACGCAAUCAAUACAACUUUCAACAACGGAUCUCUUGGCUCUC
rnacentral:misc_RNA from 1 species